CCUACGGGUGGCAGCAGUGAGGAAUAUUGGUCAAUGGACGAGAGUCUGAACCAGCCAAGUAGCGUGAAGGAUGAAUGCCCUAUGGGUUGUAAACUUCUUUUAUAUGGGAAUAAAACGUUCCACGUGUGGGAUUUUGUAUGUACCAUAUGAAUAAGGAUCGGCUAACUCCGUGCCAGCAGCCGCGGUAAUACGGAGGAUCCGAGCGUUAUCCGGAUUUAUUGGGUUUAAAGGGAGCGUAGGUGGAUUGUUAAGUCAGUUGUGAAAGUUUGCGGCUCAACCGUAAAAUUGCAGUUGAAACUGGCAGUCUUGAGUACAGUAGAGGUGGGCGGAAUUCGUGGUGUAGCGGUGAAAUGCUUAGAUAUCACGAAGAACUCCGAUUGCGAAGGCAGUUCACUGGACUGCAACUGACACUGAGGCUCGAAAGUGUGGGUAUCAAACAGGAUUAGAUACCCUUGUAGUC
rnacentral:rRNA from 1 species